UAUCCUGGCUCAGAAUCAACGCUGGCGGCGUGCCUAACACAUGCAAGUCGAACGCGAAAGUGGAGCAAUCCAUGAGUAGAGUGGCAAACGGGUGAGUAACGCGUGGGUGACCUGCCUUCGAGUGGGGAUAACGUUCCGAAAGGGACGCUAAUACCGCAUAACAUCCUGCCUUUUAAAAGGUGGACAUCAAAGCCUGGGACCGCAAGGCCAGGCGCUUGAAGAGGGGCCCGCGUCCGAUUGGCUAGUUGGUGGGGUAAUGGCUCACCAAGGCAACGAUCGGUAGCCGGCCUGAGAGGGCGGACGGCCACACUGGGACUGAGACACGGCCCAGACUCCUACGGGAGGCAGCAGUGGGGAAUUGUUCGCAAUGGGCGCAAGCCUGACGACGCAACGCCGCGUGGAGGAUGAAGAUCUUCGGGUCGUAAACUCCUUUCGAUCGAGACGAAUGGCCUCUGGGUGAACAAUCCAGAGGAGUGACGGUACCGAGAGAAGAAGCCCCGGCUAACUCCGUG
rnacentral:rRNA from 1 species